rnacentral:rRNA from 2 species
CACGUAGGGGGCAAGCGUUGUCCGGAUUCAUUGGGCGUAAAGAGCUCGUAGGCGGUUCGAUAAGUCGGGUGUGAAACCUCCAGGCUCAACCUGGAGACGCCACCCGAUACUGUCGUGACUAGAGUCCAGUAGGGGAGCGUGGAAUUCCUGGUGUAGCGGUGAAAUGCGCAGAUAUCAGGAGGAACACCAGCGGCGAAGGCGGCGCUCUGGGCUGGAACUGACGCUGAGGAGCGAAAGCGUGGGGAGCGAACAGG